GAUGAACGAUAGAGGGAGGAAGAACAGAGGCAAGCCGAGCGGUAGAGUUUCUUCGGAAACGUGAGAGCGGCGCACGGGUGCGUAACACGUGUGCAACCUACCUUUAUCUGGGGGAUAGCCUUUCGAAAGGAAGAUUAAUACCCCAUAAUAUAAUGAUUGGCAUCAAUUAUUAUUGAAAACUCCGGUGGAUAGAGAUGGGCACGCGCAAGAUUAGAUAGUUGGUGAGGUAACGGCUCACCAAGUCAAUGAUCUUUAGGGGUCCUGAGAGGGAGGUCCCCCACACUGGUACUGAGACACGGACCAGACUCCUACGGGAGGCAGCAGUGAGGAAUAUUGGACAAUGGGUGAGAGCCUGAUCCAGCCAUCCCGCGUGAAGGAUGACGGUCCUAUGGAUUUUCCACUUCUUUUGUACAGGGAUAAACCUACCCUCGUGAGGGUAGCUGAAGGUACUGUACGAAUAAGCACCGGCUACCUCCGUG
rnacentral:rRNA from 1 species